UUCACAAUCCAUCCCUACUAAAUUUGAAAUGAAUUGUCAAACUAAUCUAAAUUAUUUACACACACUAUAAGGGUUAAUUUUAUGGAUCUAUUCAACCUCAUAUUCCUUCCAAACCCUGAUAUCUUGAUCAUGGAGACAACAAUAAAGUGCCUCGAUUGAUAUCAUCAGCUACCGGUCAUUUGACAAUCACACUGGAUUCAGUCUAUCUAGUUAACUGCUAUUCAAAAUUUUAAUCAUGUUGUUUAUACUUUCAAUUAUCUUCAACCUUGACGUUGGCGAAAUCAUGGACAUAACGAUGGGGUCCACUAUUCAUUAAAAGAAGAAGAAAAAGAAGAAUAUAAAUGUAAAUUAGUUACUUAUACUGCUCAAGUAUGUAUGUUCCACUAACAAUGAAGCUAUAAAAAUAAUACAAAUAUAAA